UGUGUCAGCAGCCGCGGUAAUACGGAGGUGGCAAGCGUUGUUCGGAAUUACUGGGCGUAAAGGGCGCGUAGGCGGCAUGGCAAGUCAGAUGUGAAAGCCCCGGGCUUAACUCGGGAAUUGCAUCUGAAACUGCUUUGCUUGAGUCCUGGAGGGGGUAGUGGAAUUCCCAGUGUAGCGGUGAAAUGCGUAGAUAUUGGGAGGAACACCGGUGGCGAAGGCGGCUACCUGGACAGUGACUGACGCUGAGGCGCGAAAGCCAGGGGAGCAAACGGGAUUAGAUACCCCGGUAGUCCUGGCUGUAAACGAUGGGCACUUGGUGUCGGGGGUAUUGAGUCCCCCGGUGCCGGAGUUAACACGUUAAGUGCCCCGCCUGGGGAGUACGGUCGCAAGACUGAAACUCAAAGGAAUUGACGGGGGCCCGCACAAGC
rnacentral:rRNA from 1 species